AUUGAACGCUGGCGGCAUGCCUUACACAUGCAAGUCGAACGGCAGCACGGGAGCAAUCCCGGUGGCGAGUGGCGAACGGGUGAGUAAAGUAUCGGAACGUGCCCAGUCGUGGGGGAUAACGUAGCGAAAGUUACGCUAAUACCGCAUACGAUCUAUGGAUGAAAGCGGGGGAUCGCAAGACCCCGCGCGAUUGGAGCGGCCGAUAUCAGAUUAGGUAGUGGGUGGGGUAAAGGCUCACCAAGCCGUCGAUCUGUAGCUGGUCUGAGAGGACGACCAGCCACACUGGGACUGAGACACGGCCCAGACUCCUACGGGAGGCAGCAGUGGGGAAUUUUGGACAAUGGGCGAAAGCCUGAUCCAGCCAUGCCGCGUGCAGGAUGAAGGCCUUCGGGUUGUAAACUGCUUUUGUACGGAACGAAAAGGUUUGGCCUAAUAAGCUGAGCUCAUGACGGUACCGUAAGAAUAAGCACCGGCUAACUACGUGCCAGCCGCCGCAGUAA
rnacentral:rRNA from 1 species